UACGUAGGGGGCAAGCGUUGUCCGGAAUCAUUGGGCGUAAAGCGCGUUUAGGCGGUCCGGUAAGUCGGUUGUGAAAGUCCAGGGCUCAACCCUGGGAUGCCGAUCGAUACUGCCGGACUAGAGUCCGGAAGAGGCGAGUGGAAUUCCCGGUGUGGCGGUGAAAUGCGCAGAUAUCGGGAGGAACACCAAUGGCGAAGGCAGCUCGCUGGGACGGUACUGACGCUGAGACGCGAAAGCGUGGGGAGCAAACAGG
rnacentral:rRNA from 1 species